AACGAACGCUGGCGGCAUGCCUAACACAUGCAAGUCGAACGAGACCUUCGGGUCUAGUGGCGCACGGGUGCGUAACGCGUGGGAACCUGCCCUUAGGUUCGGAAUAACUCCCCGAAAGGGGUGCUAAUACCGGAUAAUGUCUUCGGACCAAAGAUUUAUCGCCUUUGGAUGGGCCCGCGUUGGAUUAGCUAGUUGGUAGGGUAAAAGCCUACCAAGGCGACGAUCCAUAGCUGGUCUGAGAGGAUGAUCAGCCACACUGGGACUGAGACACGGCCCAGACUCCUACGGGAGGGAGCAGUGGGGAAUAUUGGACAAUGGGCGAAAGCCUGAUCCAGCAGUGCCGCGUGAGUGAUGAAGGCCUUAGGGUUGUAAAGCUCUUUUACCCGGGAUGAUAAUGACAGUACCGGGAGAAUAAGCUCCGGCUAACUCCGUG
rnacentral:rRNA from 1 species